AGCGAACGCUGGCGGCAGGCCUAACACAUGCAAGUCGAACGAACCUUUCGGGGUUAGUGGCGGACGGGGGAGUAACACGUGGGAACGUGCCUUUAGGUUCGGGAUACCUCAGGGAAACUUGUGCUAAUACAGAAUGUGCCCUUCGGGGGAAAGAUUUAUCGUCUUUAGAGCGGCACGCGUCCGAUUAGCUAGUUGGUUGAGGUAAUGGCGCACCAAGGGGAGGAUCAGUAGCUGGUCAGAGAGGAUGAUCAGCCACAUUGGGACUGGGACACGGCCCAAACUCUUACGGAAUGGAGCAGUGGCUGAUCCUGCGAAACGGGCUAAAGCCUGACGCAGCCAGGCCGGGUGAAUGCUGUAGGUCUUAGGAUAGAACAACUCUUUCAUCGGGGACGAUAAUGACGGUACCCGGAGAAUAAGCCCCGGCUAACUUCGUG
rnacentral:rRNA from 1 species